GACGAACGCUGGCGGCGCGCCUAACACAUGCAAGUCGAACGAGCGAGCGAGAGCUUGCUUUCUUGAGCGAGUGGCGAACGGGUGAGUAACGCGUGAGGAACCUGCCUCAAAGAGGGGGACAACAGUUGGAAACGACUGCUAAUACCGCAUAAGCCCACGGUGCCGCAUGGCACAGAGGGAAAAGGAGCAAUCCGCUUUGAGAUGGCCUCGCGUCCGAUUAGCUAGUUGGUGAGGUAACGGCCCACCAAGGCGACGAUCGGUAGCCGGACUGUGAGGCUGAACGCCCACACCUGCACUGGGCCACGGUCCAGACUCCUACGGGAUGCAGCAGUGCGGAAUGGUGCACCACGGCGGAAAUCCUGAUGCAGCGCCGCCGCGUGGAGGCAGUAGGUCUUCGGAUUGUAAUCUCCUGUUGUUGGGGAAGAUCUUGACGGUACCCAAUCAGAAAGCGACGGCUAACUACGUG
rnacentral:rRNA from 1 species